UUAAUUGUUUGGAAAUACAUUAUGUAGAUGGAAAACGUAGAUCGUUGAGGUCCGUGUUGUAUUCUUGGCUUUAAAAUAGAUCUACAUGUAAGUUUUAGCAGGUAAUGAUUAAUAAAAUAAAGUUUAUUAUGAAAUGCUCAGUAGAAAAUUUUAGAAAUAUAAGGAUUUUUUAUCUAGGCAAUUUUUUAGAAAUGGAUAAUGGAGUGCCAGCAGCCGCGGUUAUACUUCUGUUUCAAGUUAAGGUUGUUUUACAAAAUUAUGGAUUUAGAGUAGAAUUGAAGUUUUUUAUAAUUAUUAGGUAGAAUUUUAAUUAUAAAUAGUAACAUGUUUUAUUUUCAUAGAAAUUAUAGUAGGGACCAGGAUUAGAUACCCUGUUACUUAUAUUUAAUAAAUUUUGGAUUAGUAGUAUUAAUGAAAUUUAACGGAUUUGGCGGCAAGAUAGCCAUUUAGAGGAACCUGCCCUAUAAACGAUGAACCACGAAUUUCUUUACUUCUAUUAGUAAAUCAGUUUGUAUACCGCUGUUGUCAGUUAGUUUCUUUAGAAAGCUUUCGUUAUUGAAAAAUUCAAGGACUUCAAGUAAAGGUGCAGCUUAUGUAGAAGGUAGAGGUGGGUUACAUUUAUAAGAUUAAUACGGAUAAAAUUAAUUAAAAGGUUUUUGAAGGUGGAUUUAAAUGUAAGAUUUAAGAAGAUCUGAUGAAGGCUCUUUCUUGUGUACACACCGCCCGUCGCUCUCUUUAUUAAACGAGAUAAGUCGUAACAAGGUAAGUGUAAUGGAAAUUGUACUUGA
rnacentral:ncRNA from 1 species